UACGAGGGGGGCAAGCGUUGUUCGGAAUUAUUGGGCGUAAAGGGCGCGUAGGCGGUGCGGUAAGUCACCUGUGAAACCUCCAGGCUCAACCUGGAGACGCCACCCGAUACUGCUGUGACUUGAGUCCGGUAGGGGAGCCACGGAAUUCCUGGUGUAGCGGUGAAAUGCGCAGAUAUCAGGAGGAACACCGGUGGCGAAGGCAGCACUCUGGGACGUGACUGACGCUGAGACGCGAAAGCGUGGGGGAGCAAACAGG
rnacentral:rRNA from 1 species